UCUCUCGCUGGCGCUGGCACAGGAGCUUGGGAUCCGUCUCCUCUUUCGCCUCCUCCACCUUGGGGGCCCCGGGCUACUCUCUCCCAGCCCCUGUUGCCCUGUGAUCUGUAGGUCCUUGGGGACGCAUAGUUAAGGUGCCAGGACAUCCUGGAAGCUGGGAAAUGAUUUCUUCUGGACCAUGGCUGGAGAAGGAAAGAAGGUGUGUUUUGCCUGAUUCGGGGACUACAGAGAGAACCAAGUUCUGCAGGCCUGUCACCUAAGUCUCAGGUGAGUAUGAAUUCUCUUGUGUUUCUGGUAGAUUGUUGCAGUGUCAGGACCAAGGUCAAAUGAAUUAUAGCCAAGUCUACAGUAAGAUGUGGCUGUAUUCUCUUUUGAAGCCGGGACCAUGAUUGGCAAGCUUGCCUCUUGUUCAAGUGCUCACCCUCUGAAGAUGUCUUCCUUGGUCUUUGCCUCCAGCUGGGUGUCACAAACUCUGAACUGGAUUCCAAGGCUUUCAUGAAUGCACUUAUGUUUGCUGUGGCAGCUGCAUUAUGUUGUGGGGGAUGUGCAUGCGGAACCUCCUAUUCUGUCUUCUUGCUUAUGUUACUCUCCUUUAUGUUUCACUUUCUGAAAUGAAUGUCAAGCUGGUGAUUUUCAGAUUAAAAAAUUCUAAACUAAAUUGUCAAAUUUACACAUUA